ACUCAAAUGAAUUGACGGGGACCUGCACAAGCGGUGGAGCAUGUGGUUUAAUUCGACGGUAAGCGAGGAACCUUACCAAGGCUUGACAUAUACCUGCAUACAUCAGAAACGGUGUAGCCUUCGAGGGUGGUAUACAGAUGCUGCACGGUAGUCGUCAGCUCGUGCCGUGAGGUGUUCACUUAAGUGUGAAAACGAGCGCAACCCCUGUUAUGAGUUACAAGUGUCUCAUAAGACUGCCGGCGUCUAAGCCGGAGGAAGGCGGGGAUGACGUCAUAUCAGCGUGGCUCUUACGCCUUGGGCGACACACGUGCUACAAUGGGGUGGCACAAAGGGACGCCAACGAGUAAUCGGGAGCAAAUCCUUUAAAACACCCCCCAGUUCGGAUUGAGGGCUGCAACUCGCCCUCAUGAAGCCGGAAUCGCUAGUAACCGUAGAUCAGCCUCGCUACGGUGAAUACGUUCUCAGGUUUUGUACACACCGCCCGU
rnacentral:rRNA from 1 species